GAUGAACGCUGGCGGCGUGCCUAAUACAUGCAAGUCGAGCGAACAGACGAGGAUCUUGCUCCUCUGCCGUUAGCGGCGGACGGGUGAGUAACACGUGGAUAACCUACAUAUAAGACUGGGAUAACUUCGGGAAAGCUGAUCUAAUACCGGAUAAUAUGUUGAACCGCAGGGUUCAAUAGUGAAAGACGGUUUUGCUGUCACUUAUAGAUGGAUCCGCGCCGCAUUAGCUAGUUGGUAAGGUAACGGCUUACCAAGGCAACGAUGCGUAGCCGACCUGAGAGGGUGAUCGGCCACACUGGAACUGAGACACGGUCCAGACGCCUACGGGAGGCAGCAGUAGGGAAUCUUCGGCAAUGGGCGAAAGCCUGACGGAGCAACGCCGCGUGAGUGAUGAAGGUCUUCGGAUCGUAAAACUCUGUUAUUAGGGAAGAACAAAUGUGUAAGUAACCAUGCCCGUCUUGACGGUACCUACUCAGAAAGCCACGGCUAACUACGUG
rnacentral:rRNA from 1 species